rnacentral:rRNA from 1 species
UAGCUCCUACGGGGGGCAGCAGUCGGGAAUAUUGCACAAUGGAGGAAACUCUGAUGCAGUGACACCGCGUAUAGGAAGAAGGUUUUCGGAUUGUAAACUAUUUUAGACAGGGAAGAAAAAAGACAGUACCUGUAGAAUAAGCUCCGGCUAACUACGUGCCAGCAGCCGCGGUAAUACGUAGGGAGCAAGCGUUAUCCGGAUUUAUUGGGUGUAAAGGGUGCGUAGACGGGAAAUUAAGUUAGUUGUGAAAUCCCUCGGCUUAACUGAGGAACUGCAACUAAAACUGAUUUUCUUGAGUACUGGAG